rnacentral:misc_RNA from 1 species
GAUGAAGAACGUAGCGAAAUGCGAUAAGUAGUGUGAAUUGCAGAAUUCCGUGAAUCAUCGAAUCUUUGAACGCACAUUGCGCCCCUUGGUAUUCCGAGGGGCAUGCCUGUUCGAGCGUCAUUACACCACUCAAGCUAUGCUUGGUAUUGGGCGUCGUCCUUAGUUGGGCGCGCCUUAAAGACCUCGGCGAGGCCACUCCGGCUUUAGGCGUAGUAGAAUUUAUUCGAACGUCUGUCAAAGGAGAGGAACUCUGCCGACUGAAACCUUUAUUUUUCUAGGUUGACCUCGGAUCAGGUAGGGAUACCCGCUGAACUUAAGCAUAUCAAUAAGCGGAGGA